UACGUAGGGUGCGAGCGUUAGUCGGAAUUACUGGGCGUAAAGCGUGCGCAGGCGGUUCGCCAAGUCAGGUGUGAAAUCCCCGGGCUUAACCUGGGAAUUGCGCUUGAAACUACAAGGCUAGAGUGUAGCAGAGGGGGGUGGAAUUCCACGUGUAGCAGUGAAAUGCGUAGAGAUGUGGAGGAACACCGAUGGCGAAGGCAGCCCCCUGGGCUAACACUGACGCUCAGGCACGAAAGCGUGGGGAGCAAACAGG
rnacentral:rRNA from 1 species